rnacentral:rRNA from 1 species
UACGUAGGGUGCAAGCGUUGUCCGGAUUUAUUGGGUUUAAAGGGCGCGUAGGUGGCUUUUUAAGUCAUGGGUGAAAGCCCGCAGCUCAACUGUGGAAUUGCCUGUGAUACUGAGGAGCUUGAGUGCGGUUGAGGCAGCUGGAAUUGGUGGUGUAGCGGUGAAAUGCAUAGAUACCACAAGGAACACCGAUUGCGAAGGCAGGUUGCUAAGCCGUAACUGACACUGAGGCACGAAAGCGUGGGGAGCAAAAAGG